ACUCAAAUGAAUAGACGGGGACCCGCACAAGCAGUGGAGUAUGUGGUUUAAUUCGAAGCAACGCGAAGAACCUUACCAGGUCUUGACAUCCCCAUGCAAGCACUAGAGAUAGUGCCCCUCUUCGGAGCAUGGGAGACAGGUGGUGCAUGGUUGUCGUCAGCUCGUGUCGUGAGAUGUUGGGUUAAGUCCCGCAACGAGCGCAACCCUUGAUCUUAGUUGCCAGCACUUCGGGUGGGCACUCUAGGAUGACUGCCGGUGACAAACCGGAGGAAGGUGGGGAUGACGUCAAAUCAUCAUGCCCCUUAUGACCUGGGCUACACACGUACUACAAUGGCCGGUACAACGGGAAGCGAAAGAGCGAUCUGGAGCGAAUCCUUAGAAGCCGGUCUCAGUUCGGAUUGCAGGCUGCAACUCGCCUGCAUGAAGUCGGAAUUGCUAGUAAUCGCGGAUCAGCAUGCCGCGGUGAAUACGUUCCCGGGUCUUGUACACACCGCCCGU
rnacentral:rRNA from 1 species